GAUAAGUAAUGUGARUUGCAGAAUUCAGUGAAUCAUCGAAUCUUUGAACGCACCUUGCGCUCCUUGGUAUUCCGAGGAGCAUGCCUGUUUGAGUGUCAU
rnacentral:rRNA from 1 species